CCGAGACCACAUGAUCCCAAUCCACCCCCCCCCCCCAACACUUCCCUCAAAGGACUGGGGGGAAGAGCAGAGAACUCAGCGGGCGGAACGGAAAGAGCGAGGUCAUGUGUCCUACUCGGACACUACCGGUCACUGACCGCAGCCCGUAGACACAGGAGCCCCGGUCCCAUAUGGCCCGGACAUGGUUGCAGACGGACCGCUUCCGGUCGGACACUUACUAGGUUCCCCAGGAUGCAGGCGGGUCGGGCCAAGCACGGGGUGGCGCAUCAUGGCGACAGCGGUUAUCAUCCUGAGGUCUUCACGCCAAGGCGCCGCCUGGGUGGGGAAGCGGCUCCUGUCCGAAGCUGGAGGCGUGAGGCGCGGCUGGUGGCGGCAGGCGCAGAUGUUUGGAAAAUUAACUCUUUUCAGAAGAGGGCUUGCACUCUCAGCAGUUUCUUACUUGGGUUAUGAAGCUUACAACUCUAUUUCUCACUCUGCUGUGGUUCAUGCUAGUGUCAAAGAAACAUGAUUGAAAAACAUGAUUCUGUUUUAGAAACAUGAUUGAAAAACAAACAAGCAUACAUUAUUAAUACCAAG
rnacentral:lncRNA from 1 species